rnacentral:rRNA from 1 species
GUGCCAGCCGCCGCGGUAAUACGGAAGGUCCGGGCGUUAUCCGGAUUUAUUGGGUUUAAAGGGAGCGCAGGCUGACUGUUAAGCGUGCCGUGAAAUGUACCGGCUCAACCGGUGACUUGCGGCGCGAACUGGUGGUCUUGAGUGCGUACGAGGAUGGCGGAAUUCGUGGUGUAGCGGUGAAAUGCUUAGAUAUCACGAAGAACUCCGAUUGCGAAGGCAGCUGUCCAGUCCGUAACUGACGCUAAUGCUCGAAGGUGCGGGUAUCGAACAGGAUUAGAUACCCUGGUAGUCCGCACGGUAAACGAUGGAUGCCCGCUGUCGGCGAUAUAAUGUCGGUGGCUAAGCGAAAGCGUUAAAGCAUCCCACCUGGGGAGUACGCCGGCAACGGUGAAACUCAAAGGAAUUGACGGGGGCCCGCACAAGCGGAGGAACAUGUGGUUUAAUUCGAUGAUACGGCGAGGAACCUUACCCGGGCUUGAACUGCAGGAGAACGAUACAGAGAUGUUGAGGCCCUUCGGGGCUCCUGUGGAGGUGCUGCAUGGUUGUCGUCAGCUCGUGCCGUGAGGUGUCGGCUUAAGUGCCAUAACGAGCGCAACCCUUGCGGGUAGUUGCCAUCAGGUUAAGCUGGGCACUCUGCCCGGACUGCCACCGUAAGGUGUGAGGAAGGUGGGGAUGACGUCAAAUCAGCACGGCCCUUACGUCCGGGGCUACACACGUGUUACAAUGGGUGGUACAGAGAGUCGGCCGGCUGCAAAUCCGGUCUAAUCAAAAAAGCCAUCCUCAGUUCGGAUUGGGGUCUGCAACCCGACCCCAUGAAGCUGGAUUCGCUAGUAAUCGCGCAUCAGCCAUGGCGCGGUGAAUACGUUCCCGGGCCUUGUACACACCGCCCGU